rnacentral:rRNA from 1 species
AUUGAACGCUGGCGGCAUGCCUUACACAUGCAAGUCGAACGGCAGCACGGGGCAACCUGGUGGCGAGUGGCGAACGGGUGAGUAAUGCAUCGGAACGUACCUUUCAGUGGGGGAUAACGUAGCGAAAGUUACGCUAAUACCGCAUAUUCUGUGAGCAGGAAAGCAGGGGAUCGCAAGACCUUGCGCUGAUUGAGCGGCCGAUGUCAGAUUAGCUAGUUGGUGAGGUAAAGGCUCACCAAGGCGACGAUCUGUAGCGGGUCUGAGAGGAUGAUCCGCCACACUGGAACUGAGACACGGUCCAGACUCCUACGGGAGGCAGCAGUGGGGAAUUUUGGACAAUGGGGGCAACCCUGAUCCAGCCAUGCCGCGUGAGUGAAGAAGGCCUUCGAGUUGUAAAGCCCUUUCGGCCGGGAAGAAAUCGCACGGGCUAAUACCCUGUGUGGAUGACGGUACCGGAAUAAGAAGCACCGGCUAACUACGUGCCAGCCGCCGCAGUAAUAC